rnacentral:rRNA from 1 species
AUUGAACGCUGGCGGCAUGCCUUACACAUGCAAGUUGAACGGUAACAGGUCUUCGGAUGCUGACGAGUGGCGAACGGGUGAGUAAUACAUCGGAACGUGCCUAGUAGUGGGGGAUAACCACUCGAAAGAGUGGCUAAUACCGCAUGAGAUCUACGGAUGAAAGCAGGGGAUCGCAAGACCUUGUGCUACUAGAGCGGCCGAUGGCAGAUUAGGUAGUUGGUGGGAUAAAAGCUUACCAAGCCGACGAUCUGUAGCUGGUCUGAGAGGACGAUCAGCCACACUGGGACUGAGACACGGCCCAGACUCCUACGGGAGGCAGCAGUGGGGAAUUUUGGACAAUGGGCGCAAGCCUGAUCCAGCAAUGCCGCGUGCAGGAUGAAGGCCUUCGGGUUGUAAACUGCUUUUGUACGGAACGAAAAGCCCCGGGUUAAUACCCUGGGGUCAUGACGGUACCGUAAGAAUAAGCACCGGCUAACUACGUGCCAGCCGCCGCUGUAA